CUACGGGCUGCUGCAGUCGAGAAUAGUCUACAAUGGACGAAAGUCUGAUAGUGCGACGCCGCGUGGAUGAAGAAGCAUUUCGGUGUGUAAAGUCCUUUUCUGUGUGAGCAAUGUUUUCCAGGUUAAUAGCUUGGAGAAAGCGAUAUUAACACAGGAAUAAGCUCCGGCUAACUCCGUGCCAGCAGCCGCGGUAACACGGGGGGAGCAAGCGUUGUCCGGAAUUACUAGGCGUAAAGGGUAAGUAGGCGGAAUUGUAAGUCAGAUGUUAAAGGCACCGGCUCAACCGGUGUAUGGCAUUUGAUACUGUAAUUCUAGAGUAAGGUGGGGGAAGACGGAAUUCCUGGUGUAGCGGUGGAAUGCGCAGAUAUCAGGAGGAACACCAGAGGCGCAGGCGGUCUUCUAUACCAUUACUGACGCUCAAUUACGAAGGUGUGGGUAUCAAACAGGAUUAGAUACCCCUGUAGUC
rnacentral:rRNA from 1 species